UCCAGAGAGCCGUGAAGGUAUUCCAUGGUGUUCGAGUAGAGAAUGAGGAAUCUUGACAUCCAGACUGGAUAUACUUCACAGGAGGCAGCCUGUGUUUAGUGCUGAUCAGUCAGAUAAGAAUGGAAGUGAAGAGGCACUGGAGACAAGAUCCCAGAGAGGAAUGCCAAGGUAAUAAUUCAGGCAGGAGGUGAUGAGAACCUGUCUCUGCAAAGAUAUGUAGAAAGACUGUUGAGAAAAGCUGCCGCCGUCGCUGGAGAUAACAGCUCACCGACUGGGAUCUAUUUCAUGGAAUGGAAAUUCUAAUCACAUAGUGACAAAGAAUCCAUCAUGGCAGGGAAGGCAUGGCAACAGGAAACUGAGAGAUCCCAUUCCAGCUGUAUACAGGAAGAAGAGAGCAAAAGCAGGAAGGUGAGCUUAUUGACUUGACUGGAUGCCUGGGCAGCAAGAGGACAGGAUGUACUCCUUGCAAGCCACCCCUACGACAGGGUCCACCCUCACCACUAGGGUUGCUGAUGAAUGUCACCACGCCUGACACUUUAUUUGGGUGCUGGGAUGGACUCAGGUCUUCAUGUCUGCACGGCAAACACUCUGCCUACUGACUCAUCUCCCCAGUCCUGAAUCACAGACCUUCUAAAAGUUCCCAGAGCUGAAGAGCGAAUUCUUUAUGCAUUUAAUGUUCUUUACCCAUUAUUGAAGGGUCUUUUACUUCUCUAGUUGAAGUGAGCUACAAAAGCAGAUGCCCUUUAAAAGAAGCCUGAAUUUACUAUUGUAUAUGAGAGUGGGCUGAUACAAAGCAGAGCGAGACAGGCUUUCCAGAGUGUACCAGCCUGAAAUCCCCCAAAGAACACAUGGUUCUUACAAAGUCCUCUGAGCUGGGAUACUGUGUACGUUUUACAGUAAAGGAAAAAUUGAAUAUUUUUUAAAGCUUUCCAGAAUUAGAUAAGAAUUGAGUAUAAAAAGAAAAAUCACAUACCACUUGGGACUCAGACACUCCCCUGCCAGCCCCAGAGGAAGGGGACGAGAAGCCAGACACAGAGGUCUGCUUUUCUCCAAGUCACCCAGACACAAACAAGAAUAAAGUAAAAGACACGGAAUGUAGAACAACAUGAGCUCUUCAUUUGGAGCAAUUUAGAGAGUAGAAAUAAUUGACAAUAGGCAAGCAGCAAAGACCUAAGGCAACAGCAUAUAUAUUACCCCAGAAGCUGUGCAUGUUUGAAGAAAAAGCAACUGUAGCUAAAGUUUAUUACAAUAAAUAAACAAUUUAUUACAAUUGCUUAUUACAAUAUAAAGCAUAUUACAGGCAUACCACAUAAUCCUACAGGUCAAGCAGUUAUAGAAAGAUCAAACAGAACUCUAAAGGAUAUGCUAAAUAAACAGAAAGGGGUAACAAAAACCCCCAGAAACAGACUGCAUAAUGCUCUAUUAACUUUGAAUUUUCUUAAUGCCAAUGAGAAAGGAACAACAGCUGCAGAGAGACAUUGGAUAAUAGAAAAAAACUACAGAAUUAAAUCAGCCUAUAUACUUUAAGGAUGUGCUGACCUCAGAAUGGAAACCAGGGUAUGUGUUACGUUGGGGACGAGGUUUUGCUUUUGUUUCUACAGGAGAAGAUAAGUUGUGGGUACCAUCAAAAUUGAUAAAGGUUCGAUUUGAACAAGAGAAACCUCUUAAUUAGAGGAGGUGAUAGUGCAUCAACCAGCAUGAACAUCCAAAUUAAACUAACUUACCAGUAACACAUGUCUUUUCAUUUAAUCAGAUAAUAACUUGCCAAAAAGGAACAUCCCCAAAAUUAGUCUUGGGGAAAGGUUUUUGUUUUUGUCUUUUAGGAGAAGGAAGGUUAAGGAAUCUGAAGAACACUGGACAAAUGAGACAACUGAAGAAAAGGGACAAAUCAUCUAUCCCAGGAAACAGAGUGAAAUGGCAUAUGGGUAUAUAUUAUCUAAAAAAUUUUAUGUCUUCCUAAAUGUUUGUUUCUGCUUUUCUCUAAAAAUUUAACACUAUUGGUCUUCUAAUAGUCCCAGUUCAAUUAAAAUUUAAAGCUGACUUUAGAGUUGGAGAAUGGCUCUCUCCUUCUUUAAACUCAAGCAUGUUGUUAAAAGGAAAAUGCAAACCCCCUGUAUCAUGCCAGAAUAAAAGAGCCAUCUUCUGCUAUGGGACAGGAGAAAAGCCAAAUUAAUUAAGGGACUAUUCUAUUACUAAUCUCAACUCUUUGAUUCUAUUCUGAUUCUUUAAAACUUUUCUUAAAGUAUAAAUUUUAUAUCAAAAUUUACAAGAUUAAUAUAUAGAGAUAUAUAGUUAUAUGUACAUUUUAAACUUUAAGAUAUGAAUGGUCAUAUAGAGUACUAAUUAAUUCUAGAAAAAAGGCUUCAAUUAGCUGCAUAUAUAUGUCUUUGUGUUCGAGUCUCUUAUCAGUUUUCUGCAGGAAAUCACAGCCAGGACUAACAUCAACUGAAGUCUCCAGGAAGAAGUUGGGGCCCCACAACAACAACAAUUCCACGUGGAUAAUAAUAAUAUCACUAAGCUGACAAACAUCAUCUACAGAUCAGCUUUGAACUACAAGGUGCUCAGAGCAAUUUUGAGAUGACUAGCUGAGAUGAUCCAGUCUCAAAGACUACUUGAAUAAGGACUUGAGAUAAACCCUGAACUUUGGCAUUAUACACAGACUGGAUAAUGAAGGAUAUGGUUACCUUUCCUAGAAUUUGACAAUUAACCUAAAAUUUUUCUUUCAGGAUAAAGAUAACUUCGCCCAUACCCAGCAGGAAGCAAUUUUAAGAAUAUACGACGCCCACAUUCCCAAAGAGGUGGUGUGGGGCGGGUGGUUUUUUGGUCUUUUUAAUGGGUUUUGGGUCUGGGAUAAUUUUCAUUGUUUAGGGGGUUGGUUACAAGUUGUUGUCAAGGGUUAGAAAAAAGGCUAAGCAAAGGAGAUUAGAUUUAAGGUUCUUGUUUAAAAAAAGAGAGAGAAAGAAAGAAAGAAGAAGAAAAAGACAAUUACUAGUUUUAAAUAUUUUACAUUGGAUUGGAUUGUUUUAUAUUGUAUACAAAUUAUAUAUAUUGAAAUUGAUAUUGUUAGAAAAUGCUAUAUGUAUAUUUCUAAUUGUACUUAUACUGUUCAUUUAACAAUGCAAUUUUCUGAUCCUUGAAUGUUAUUAUUACCAACUAUUAGGAUAUAAAGAAAUGAAAGUUAGUAGUUAGACAUUAUAAUAGAACUUGUAGUCAUAUUAGAUAUGUUUUAAAAAUUGAGCAGAUAUAUUUUAGACAGGUCAUCUUCAAACCCUUCAGAGAUCUACAGAAUAUGGCAUUUAAAAUGUUUUAAUAACUUAGAAAAUUUUUCUUUUUUGUUAUGAUUAUGAGACAUGUCGGCUCCUGGCAGUACCAAUCUACUUCAGAGAAAAUAUGGGCAUUGAAGAAACUGCAUAUGGACUUAACUUUCAUUGUGGCAAAAGUUAGCCACUGGACAACAAAGUAUCCUCGAAUCAACUGCUGACAAAAUGGACAGACAGGACAUGAAACAAAGGACUACUGAUUCUUGCCAAAACAAGUGUGGUUAUGGCUUUAUCAAAAGGCAUUUUCUGAGGCCAGGACAAUAUGGCACCAUCCCUGAAGUGGCCUUCGCAAUCUGGAAAAGGUACAGUGCCCUUUUCUUCGAAGGCAGCUGAACAGGCAGUGGGCCGAUGGCUUCUGAUGUGCAAUGGAACAGCAGCUGAAACAGUUAUUCUUGAAGAGUAACUAAGCUCAUGCCUCUCAGUAGUAGACUGGCAUUUGAUAGAGGGAUGUGGAGAAGAACGGGAUGCUGAGAUGAAGCCAUAUAUACACAGCCAAGAAGAAUGGACAGCUGAAUUAAAAAACCAUCAACAAUUUCCAGAAUUUAAAAUCCUGAAUCAUGACAUGACACUAGUGGAAUUCAGGUGUUUCUGGUACAUGGACUGCUCUCACCCAAUGUGAGGUUGAACUGUUGACCUUGUGUACAUCCUACUUCACAAAUGAGUCUGUCAGAUAUGCUAAACCUAUAGGAUGAAGAUGAUGCCCCAGCAUUGCAGAGAAACCUCAGGUGGCUGUCUAGACAGCUGGCUGUUUCUGUCAACUCACAAAUUUUUUGGAAGUUGCUUGUAUGCACUUCCUGUUUUUGUUUUUGUUAUCUAAUAUUAUUUCCUUCUUGGGUCUCUGAGGGAGUUGAAGAUUAGUUAGCUAUAGUUGAAGAUUAAUUAGCUAUAGUUGAAGGUUAGUUAGUUAUAGUUGAAGAUUAAUUAGGAUAGAAAGUGAAUUAGAUACAUUUAGUACUUAACAAAAUAGGAUAGAUAAUGAAAUUAUUUUCUCUGAAUUUGUCAAAUACAAAUGGACUAGACAUUGUUUAGACAUUUAUUACUUGUAUAUAUUGUAUAUAGUCUUUGUACUUUUGUAUAUAGUUUUUCUUUGGUUAGUUAUAACCUUUUUCUUUCUUUUCUUUUUUAUUAAAAUAGAAAAGGGGAAAUGUGGCGGUAUUUUACUUGUACUGAAAUGUGAUUUUAAUUAUAUGUUAAUAAAUAAAGUUGCCUGGGGGUCAGAGCUAUUAGAGCCAUAGCAAGUGCGUGGCGGCGGUGGUGCACACCUUUAAGGACCUGGAAGGCGGUACAUUCAGGCAGUGACAAGUCAGUCACAUGUUUGGGUUUACAACCAAUGAGAAGGCAGAACAGCUAGACUAUAUAAAGACAUACACACAGUAAGUAGGUCCUUUUCGGAGAACUCUCUUGGCUGAAGAGGAUCCCUGAAU